GACGUAGGGCGCGAGCGUUGUCCGGAUUUAUUGGGCGUAAAGAGCUCGUAGGCGGUCUGUCGCGUCUGCUGUGAAAACUCGGGGCUUAACCCCGGGCCUGCAGUGGGUACGGGCAGACUAGAGUGCGGAAGGGGCAAUCGGAAUUCUCGGUGUAGCGGUGAAAUGCGUAGAUAUCGAGAGGAACACCAGAGGUGAAGACGGGUUGCUGGGCCGACACUGACGCUGACAGCGCGAAAGCCAGGGGAGCAAACGGGG
rnacentral:rRNA from 1 species